ACCUGCCUUUAUCUGGGGGAUAGCCUUUCGAAAGGAAGAUUAAUACCCCAUAAUAUAUUGAUGGCAUCAUUGAUAUUGAAAACUCCGGUGGAUAGAGAUGGGCACGCGCAAGAUUAGAUAGUUGGUGAGGUAACGGCUCACCAAGUCUGCGAUCUUUAGGGGGCCUGAGAGGGUGAUCCCCCACACUGGUACUGAGACACGGACCAGACUCCUACGGGAGGCAGCAGUGAGGAAUAUUGGACAAUGGGUGAGAGCCUGAUCCAGCCAUCCCGCGUGAAGGACGACGGCCCUAUGGGUUGUAAACUUCUUUUGUAUAGGGAUAAACCUAGAUACGUGUAUCUAGCUGAAGGUACUAUACGAAUAAGCACCGGCUAACUCCGUGCCAGCAGCCGCGGUAAU
rnacentral:rRNA from 1 species